AACGAACGCUGGCGGCAUGCCUAACACAUGCAAGUCGAACGAGACCUUCGGGUCUAGUGGCGCACGGGUGCGUAACGCGUGGGAAUCUGCCCUUGGGUUCGGAAUAACAGUUAGAAAUGACUGCUAAUACCGGAUGAUGUCUUCGGACCAAAGAUUUAUCGCCCAAGGAUGAGCCCGCGUAAGAUUAGCUAGUUGGUGGGGUAAUGGCCCACCAAGGCGACGAUCUUUAGCNGGUCUGAGAGGAUGAUCAGCCACACUGGGACUGAGACACGGCCCAGACUCCUACGGGAGGCAGCAGUGGGGAAUAUUGGACAAUGGGCGAAAGCCUGAUCCAGCAAUGCCGCGUGAGUGAUGAAGG
rnacentral:rRNA from 1 species